AUGAAGAUCAUCCAGCUUCAGAUCUAUCUGUUCAUGUGGUCUCAAGCCACAGAGAGUCUAACAAACACAGCAGUAACUUUAGGAGCUGAUGUGAUUAUAAGCUGUGAUCUUGAUAUAGAGGAGAUUUACUGGUACAAACAGAAAUCACCGGAUCCUCCAUGUCAUUCUGCCUGCAUAAAACUGGCUAAUAUCUGUCUUAAAAUUAAAUGGAAUAAAAAUGUAAAUUUUUACAGAUUUUGUCAACAAGAAUCAGACAGAUUUAGUUCCCCGAGACCAGAAACCGUGGCUGAUUGUUACCAUCAUCACAUCUGUCCUGAGUGUUUUUGUGAUCUUUGCAGUAAUAGGUUUGAUAAAGAGCUGUGCAAACUCCACUAAAGCAUGUGAAGAAAAGACCAAUAGAGACAUGAAUGAGCCACAGUUUGCUGAAGUGGUUCUGUUGAAGCAUUUCAGUGGCAGCAGCUCUUGUCUCACCGUGUGCAGCUUCUCUCUUCUACAGUCAGUAACUGAUGAACAAGGUUCAGAAGAGACAGAAAAGUGUUAUUAAAUGCCAUUUCAUUUGUGUUUUGAAAACCUGAUGCUGUGAAUACAUUUUCUUUGUAAAAUAAAGUGGGACUUCUGUUGAGCA
ensembl:lncRNA